GGGAAGGUUAUGUAUGAGAUGACUGAGCUUUUAAAUUGUCUCAUCUAUAUUUCCAAGAGAAAAUUAUAUCAAUACUUCUGACCAUGAGCAUUCUGUAGGAAAUAUUGAAAUUGACCUGAAUCAUGCAGAUAUUACUUCCUUGGUUGUAAGUAGAAAUACUGAGUGUGGGAAGUAGAUAAAACACCAGGGCUAUAAAAGGUUUACUGUGGGAUUUUAAGAGAAGUAAAAAAACCAAUUAUGCAAGCCUCUUUCUUUCAUUUGUAGUAGGUGAAUAGAUGUCUGUGGAUUGGAGUGUUGUUUAUGUAACUCAAACUUUUAAAGGGGGAUGAUAAGAGUCAUCCUGGAAAUCAUAGGCUAGUUAGUUUUUACUUCUGUUGUGUGAAAAAUUUUAGCAUUAUAAAAGGAUACUUACAAAAUAAUUUAGUGAAAUAUGAUGUUAUAAAUGAUAAUCAACAUAGGUGCACCAAAGGGAUUUUUUUUUCUUACUAACCACUCCUUUUUUUUUGAGGAUUAGGUAUCUGAACAAAGGAGAGAGUGUGGACUUGAUGUAUUUAGUUUUCAGAAAAAAAUUUUUUGUUAAGGGCCUGAAACUUACAGUAAAGAAAGUAUAUGUGAAAAGAAACACUUUAUCUCCCCCAUCUCUGCAUCAUCCAAGUUUUCUGUGUUUCAGGUGCCAGAAAAUCAAGAUAAAUGUAGUAAAUUUUUAGAAGAAAAAAUAUGUAAAUUUGAACCAGUGCUCUGAAGCUUCUGAUUUGGAAAGAAUGGAACAUGGAGUUUCUGAUUGGUGUGGAUAUCUCAAGAAAUGUAUUUUGAGUCAAAUGCAUCUUACCACUGCAUAAAAGAGAGGAUUAUACUUGACUUUUACCACAAUCCCAGAAGUUCGUAUCUAGAUUGUUAGAGAAAUACAGAGAGAAAAGACUUAGACAGAAAGCAAAUCAAGAAUGGCACAAAGUGCUUGAAAGAAGCUGGAUAAAAAGAAUAGAAAAAGAGUGCCAGAAAAGAACUGAAGAAUAGCAUACUCUUCUUAGUACACAGUAUAAACAUAAUGUUGUUAAGCUACAAGACCUUUUAGCUGCUCACCAAGCCAUUAUUGCUCUGACGAAAGAGAAAACAGACUGCAUGAAUAGCAUGAAAAUAGCAUUUAUGAGGAGGGCCUGUGCAUUGAUUGUAGAAACCGUGGGUGUGUUCUGUGGAUCUAGAGGUCAACGACUAGGAGUAGAUGAGUCUAAUGUUACUUCUAGUCUUUCGUCUGGUGGACAUUCAGCAAAAACGUCAUAAUUCCUGGUUAGCUAGUGAUAAGUUUUCACAAUAAAACAAUUUUACCUCAACAGCCAAAUUCUCAUAUCAGCUCUUCGUUCAACAAAGAUGCGGUUGCCCCAAAUGGAAAUUUUGAUACCUGUUACAUGACUGCUGAGGAUAUGUAUACCUUAGAGAAAGCCGCUAUCAUAGAAAGACAAUAAUCCCCACGGUCGUUGUUCACGUGUAAUAUCAUAUUAUUGUGAUGGUCGUAGACGACAAUCGACCAGGCUGAACGCCAUUCCAUCUCUGACUUACAGUGGAUCUAAUGAAAGUUUCUAGCUGACAGAGUAACCAACGAGGUAGAAAAGAAAAAUGUAGAACGCCCGUAACUAUCACGAGUUCGCUUUGUUACUUAGAAUUUAUUCUCAGUUUAGUAAGCGUUUAUUGUCUUACUGGUGCAGAUUAGAAAACAUUGUAUAUGUAGACGUUACAAGGAUCGUGAGAUCAACCUUGUUUUGAAUUACACGUAUCUAUUUCGUGAGGCCACACAGUCCACGUGUGCACAAAAAGUGUGUGGUUGACUUUUAGACCUUAAUAGUGGCUCGAUGAAACCAGUUCCACGUUUUGCAAAAUGUGUAGCAGCAGCUGAACACUGGUGUUUCCUCUCGUGAAAUGACUAAUGAUUCUUUUUGUGUGUGUGAAACAAUUUAAUGUCGAUCAGCAUUCCCUUGCACUAAAAGUUACUCGAAAAGGGAAAUGUUACAGAUAUAUUUAGUGUUAUUAUUAUGUUAUUGGUACGAUUACAACACAUAAGAUUAGCAUAUUGUUCUAUUAUUAAAAAGGCGUGUCAAUAACUAGACAUUUUACUUACUUCUGGUAUACUUUUUUUCGUAUAUGCCAUGUGGUGCUACAAGUAUAAGAAUGGCAAAAAAUAAGCUAUACAUAUUUACUAUAUAAUCUUCUUUAAGUGAACAAGUGGAAUAUUUAUAUUUUGUUUUGUUGUUUAACUGAGUGGAACAUACAGAUGCAUAAAAACAUUUUUUAUUAUCAAUCUACUUUUUUAGAUCUAUCUACAACUAUUUAUGGUAGCUCUUCGAGGAAUAAUCUUGCCUGUAAGGCAGUACGAGCUCACGCAGAGAACACGAGGAAAUAGUUCACCUACUUUUGGUUCCAGUUCGAUCAAUUAACUUCGGUUGGUUUCUUUCCAAGUUAUUUCUAGAAUGGUGAAGCAAAACAAAAACAUCAUUUUUCUACGGAAAAGCGUUAUUCGGUUCUUCUUUUUAUGAUAAUUACUCAUCAGCCUUUUAUAUCUUGUUAUUAAUAUUAUCCAGUCGUAAACAUUUUAAGAAUAUACCAGAAAUUCUUUCUCUUCAGUAUCUCAAAAUAAAAAUAAAUUCGAAUGCACCAAUUGUGCUGUAAAUUUCAUUGUCUGGAAGAAGCUUGUGAUACGUUAAAGAUUGAACUGCAAUUCCAGAAGCAACUUUUUGUGUAAUCUGAAGCUGGUUCAGUGUUUCCUUCUAGUUACGUCGAAAAGCAACUUUUUCUGUAAUCGUAAAUUAGUUCAGUAUUUUCUUCUAGUUACGUCACUGAUCGUUUUCGAGAAGCACGUUCUGGUUAUUUUUUUAUUUAAUAUACUAAACUAUUCAUAAUUUCGUGUAUAGAGUAACUGCUUUUAUUUCUCAUACAUGCCUUAAAGAUUUCGAAUAUAGUUUUUAUUAACACACCUGCUUAAGAACUAACACAAAAGCCUUAUUGUCCAAAAUCAUGGAGAGAACAACACGUUGUUAAGAUAACUCGAGAUCCGCAUUUCAGUGCCUCUUCUCUUGAAAUCGUAUACUGGUAAAAACCACUAAUCGCUUGAAUAUUUACUGUUAACAACAUCUAAUCAUUGGUUGAACAUGUACUAGUAAUAAAAGCUAUCUCUAUAAACACUUACUAUAAGCAUGUACCUGUCACCAACCCAACUUCUACAGGGAAUUAUAUCUGUACAGGUGUAACAUGACGUAAGGUAAUAAAAGAGAAAUGUCUAAAAGAAACGCACAGUUAGUGGAAACGUUUCUGUAACUGAAAGACAUGGCUUUAUUAUUUUCUUCAGUGUCAAUCGUAUUAUUAAUCAAAUAAUCAUCUUUUUGUUUCAAAUAUAAACAAACAUAAGUCGUUUUAAUCGUGUAUAUAUAAUACAGAUUGGUCAGAUUUAAAGCUCCUGUUAUGAACGUAAAUAUUAGGGCUUACACUUAUUAAUGGACUUGUAACAUAUUUUAUUGUUGUUUCUCACUCAGCUAGAUAUUAUAUUAUACACUGAUUAGGGGCGAAGCCGCAAAACUGCUACACAAGAUAUAGCUGCAUACAUUUUUUAAUGUUUUCUUGAGUAAUUUAUUGUGAGAAAAACUAACAAUACAUGAUAUAGCUGUUGUGGAUUUGCGUAGUUUCGACGUAAGCAUAAAUUCAGCUAAAGCUGUUUGGUUCAAGUCCCCAUGCGCAAUAAUCUAGCUCGUUAUCCUUAUAUAUAUAAUUUUUAGACUUGUUAUCGGCAACCUACAACGCUGCCCACUGUACGAGAAAAUUUUGGCGCCAUGCGUCUCGUGCCUGUAGGUUUAAAGUGGUUUUUAAUCUGGUGUUAGUUAAAUGGUGAUUUAAACAUAAGUCUAUAAACUUUUAUAAUAUUUAAUAGUUGAAAUUUAAAUAUGUGGUCAAAGGAAAAUGUAAUACAAGCAUUUAGCAGAUUUGUCUUUCCUCUCCUCUCAUAUUUUCCACCUCAUAGUGGCCCAGCAGUGAGUCUGAAGGCUUAUAAAUCUAAAGACCGGGUUUCGAUACACGUGUUGGCGCAGCACAGAUAGCCCAUUUUAAAUAAAGUCUGUCAAAUAGUGUUAACUUUUUCGUACAUAGUCGUCUAAACAGAUAAUUAUCCUUCGCAAUCUGAUGUUUAAUGUUCUCACGUAUUCCAUUUUGAAUAUUUUUAUAUUUUAAUUUCAUUAACCUUUUAUUCUCGUCGUAGGUAUGCUUAGAUCUUUGUUAACUUUUUCAGCAACUGCCAUACGAACCUGGCCAGGUGGUUAGGGCACUCGACUCGCAAUCUGCCGCGGAGGCGUUAUUAUUUUACGGUCAAUCCCACUAUUCGUUGGUAAAAGAGUAGCCCA